rnacentral:rRNA from 1 species
CUACGGGUCGCACCAGUGGGGAAUAUUGGACAAUGGGCGAAAGCCUGAUCCAGCAAUGCCGCGUGAGUGAAGAAGGCCUUCGGGUUGUAAAGCUCUUUUACCCGGGAAGAUAAUGACUGUACCGGGAGAAUAAGCCCCGGCUAACUCCGUGCCAGCAGCCGCGGUAAUACGGAGGGGGCUAGCGUUGUUCGGAAUUACGGGGCGUAAAGCGUGCGUAGGCGGCUAUUCAAGUCAGAGGUGAAAGCCUGGGGCUCAACUCCAGAAUUGCCUUUGAAACUAGAUAGCUUGAACAUGGGAGAGGUGAGUGGAAUUCCGAGUGUAGAGGUGAAAUUCGUAGAUAUUCGGAAGAACACCAGUGGCGAAGGCGGCUCACUGGACCAUUGUUGACGCUGAGGUACGAAAGCGUGGGGAGCAAACAGGAUUAGAUACCCCGGUAGUC